rnacentral:tRNA from 1 species
GGAAGCGUGCCCGAAACCACAAGGACUGCUUUGAUAAAGCAGACAUGGGGUCAAACAGUCACCCCCACUUCCU